rnacentral:rRNA from 1 species
GACGAACGCUGGCGGCGUGCUUAACACAUGCAAGUCGAGCGGAAAGGCCCUUCGGGGUACUCGAGCGGCGAACGGGUGAGUAGCACGUGAGUAACCUGCCCCAGACUUUGGGAUAACCCUCGGAAACGGGGGCUAAUACCGGAUACGACACAGCUUCGCAUGGGGUCUGUGUGGAAAGUUUUUCGGUUUGGGAUGGGCUCGCGGCCUAUCAGCUUGUUGGUGGGGUGAUGGCCUACCAAGGCGACGACGGGUAGCCGGCCUGAGAGGGCGACCGGUCACACUGGGACUGAGACACGGCCCAGACUCCUACGGGAGGCAGCAGUGGGGAAUAUUGCACAAUGGGCGGAAGCCUGAUGCAGCGACGCCGCGUGAGGGAUGACGGCCUUCGGGUUGUAAACCUCUUUCAGCAGGGACGAAGCGUAAGUGACGGUACCUGCAGAAGAAGCGCCGGCCAACUACGUG